rnacentral:tRNA from 1 species
GCGAUGGAAGCUGGCAGACCAUCAGCCCGGCAGAGGUCUUGAAAACCGUCGUGGCAGCGAUGUCACCGUGGGUUCAAAUCCCACACCCACCGCA